rnacentral:rRNA from 1 species
CAGGCUGUUUUUCACUCGUGCCGUGAGGUGUUAGGUUAAGUCCUGCAACGAGCGCAACCCCUGUCACUAGUUGCCAUCAUUAAGUUGGGGACUCUAGUGAGACUGCCUACGCAAGUAGAGAGGAAGGUGGGGAUGACGUCAAAUCAUCACGGCCCUUACGCCUUGGGCCACACACGUAAUACAAUGGCCGGUACAGAGGGCAGCUACACAGCGAUGUGAUGCAAAUCUCGAAAGCCGGUCUCAGUUCGGAUUGGAGUCUGCAACUCGACUCUAUGAAGCUGGAAUCGCUAGUAAUCGCGCAUCAGCCAUGGCGCGGUGAAUACGUUCCCGGGCCUUGUACACACCGCCCGUCAAGCCAUGGAAGUCUGGGGUACCUGAAGUCGGUGACCGUAACAGGAGCUGCUUUUGUGACCAU